GAGAGAGAGAGAGAGAGAGAGAGAGAGAAAGAGAGGCGGUUAAGUGCAGGUGGUUUGGGACGUGCGGAUUUUGAGGGCAUAUAUGCUGCAAAACAAGUGUCACAAAUUAUUUGUAUGUUAAAGUACAUGACUAUAAGAGUACAUGAUGCAGCAUCUUGACAAUUUGCAUAUGUUAAGCAAAAAGAAAGGUGUACUUUUCCUACAGUAAUUGGUGAAUGCCAUACAUUUGCAAAAAGGAUGACUUUUUUACCCAAGAAGAAAUGGCAAGACUUAUAUAAACAUAGUAAUUUGUACAUCUGUAUACCAUCAAAGAAGUUCAUUUGUCAGUCGGUGAUGUUGCAUAAGAAAGGAGCAUACCUUGACUGAAGUUGCAUUUAAAACCUGAUGAUGCUCCUCCUUUGUCCUGUUGUAGCGGUCUAUUAUUGAUUUCAUGCUGAUAUGAUGAGGGACUUUAUGUUAGUUUUUAUCA